UACCAGUAAAUUCUAGAGACAAAAAUAAUGGGGGUCCAUGUUAAAAAUAAUUUCAGAAUGAUAAAAUAAAUGGGGGUAAAAAUAAAACAAAGUUGAUAAAAAAUAAUGUGAAAAUAAACAACAUAGAAGUGAAACAAAAAAUAAAACAAGCAUUUGCACACGAUGGGGGUUAAACCCUUGAACUUGGGGUCAUGGGGGGAUCAACCCCCUCACCCACUAGGCCAAGCGCUCAGUGGUGUUAGAAAAU
rnacentral:lncRNA from 1 species